GAUGAACGCUGGCGGCGUGCCUAAUACAUGCCAGUCGAGCGAACAGACGAGGAGCUUGCUCCUCUGACGUUAGCGGCGGACGGGUGAGUAACACGUGGAUAACCUACCUAUAAGACUGGGAUAACUUCGGGAAACCGGAGCUAAUACCGGAUAAUAUAUUGAACCGCAUGGUUCAAUAGUGAAAGACGGUUUUGCUGUCACUUAUAGAUGGAUCCGCGCCGCAUUAGCUAGUUGGUAAGGUAACGGCUUACCAAGGCAACGAUGCGUAGCCGACCUGAGAGGGUGAUCGGCCACACUGGAACUGAGACACGGUCCAGACUCCUACGGAGGCAGCAGUAGGGAAUCUUCCGCAAUGGGCGAAAGCUUGACGGAGCAACGCCGCGUGAGUGAUGAAGGUCUUCGGAUCGUAAAACUCUGUUAUUAGGGAAGAACAAAUGUGUAAGUAACUAUGCACGUCUUGACGGUACCUAAUCAGAAAGCCACGGCUAACUACGUG
rnacentral:rRNA from 1 species